UACGUAGGGUGCAAGCGUUAAUCGGAAUUACUGGGCGUAAAGCGUGCGCAGGCGGUUUUGUAAGACCGAUGUGAAAUCCCCGGGCUUAACCUGGGAACUGCAUUGGUGACUGCAAGGCUAGAGUGUGUCAGAGGGAGGUGGAAUUCCGCGUGUAGCAGUGAAAUGCGUAGAGAUGCGGAGGAACACCGAUGGCGAAGGCAGCCUCCUGGGAUAACACUGACGCUCAUGCACGAAAGCGUGGGAGCAAACAGG
rnacentral:rRNA from 1 species